rnacentral:RNase_P_RNA from 1 species
UGCGAUGAAUCGCCGCCGCGUUCCGCGUAUAAAAACGCGGGGCGAGGAAAGUCCGGGCUUCGCAGGGCACGAUGCCGGGUAACGCCCGGGCCCGGCCGUAUAAUCAAAAGUUAUGCUGCCGGGACAGAAAGCGCAACAGAAAAAAUACCGCCAUGCCGUAUAAUCAAAAGUUGUAUGGCAUGGUAAGGGUGAAAUGGCGGGGUAAAAGCCCACCGCGGAGCCGGUAACGGCUCCGGCAUUGCAAGCCUCAUCGGAAGCAAAGCCAAACAGCGGCUGGAUUGCCCGUCCGGAAGCCGCGGGUAGGCUGCAAUGACCGCCGCCGCAAGGCGGCGGCACAGAUAGAUGGCGGCGCGGUAUAUGCCGUAACAGAAUCCGGCUUAUGAUUCAUCGCUUUUU